CUUGAGUGGGGCCCUGGGUAGAUGGAGGAGAGGCCCCUGGGAUGGGGAACUCAGCAUGGGGAGCAAGUUUGAGAGGCAGGACAGCGGACUCAGAUAUGGCCAAGGCGUCAGAGUCACAGCCAGGUGGAGCCCAGCAGCCACUUGGAUUCAGGGUCAGGCUCAGGGAGAGAUUCGACUGGAAGUACUGACCCAGGGCCAUGGACACUCAGAGAGUAAUGGAAACCCUGAGAAUGAAUGAGAUCACAGAGAGAGAAUGGGACAGGGUGUAGGGCAGAAUCAUGAGUUAUAGUGACAUUUGAGGAGCCAAUCAAGGUGUGGGCAGGUGACAAGAGAAAAAGAAGGAAGGGCCUGAGAGAUGGGACAAACAACUAGGAGAGUGGGUUGCCAUGGCAACCAAGGUAGUGAAGAGUUUCAAGGAGAAAGUAAUCAACACUGUCAAAUGCAGCAGAGAAUUCCAAUAAGAUAAAGACAGAAUUUUUUCUUUGGAUUUGAUGAUUAGUAAGCUUUUGGUGACCUUAAUAAGAGCAGUUUGGGGAGUGAUGGGGCAUGAGCUGGAAUAAUGUCAAGAUGUGAGGGGGAGGCGAAUCUGUCACUAAGAGUCCUCUGAGGACAUAGGAAAGUCAUGAGCAAUUUUACAGGCAGACGUCAACUCCAAAAUGUGAUAAGCAUUCAUUGCAUGUUUUCUAAUUUAGCCCAUUAUGUGCCUGGCAGUGUGCCUAGCACUAUGGAUACUUGGUGAAUGAAUUAAAACAAGCAGAAUCUCUCUUCUCUUGGAACUUGUUUGAUAGUAGCAGAGAAAGACAUUAAUCAGAUAAUCACACAUAAGUGUACAAUUUCCAACUCCGACAGCACUCUGAAGGAAAGGUACUGAGAGCUGGAAGUGUACGACAAGGGGGCCUGCCCUGUGCUGACUCCAAGAGGCUUCCCUGAGGAGGUGACACUUGAACCAAGUUGUAAGGAAGGAGAGGACUUAACUGGACAGAGUGAAUUGGGGAAAAGCAUUCUGGGCAGAGGGAACAGCCUGUGCAAAAAAAGGUGAGGUGAGACCAGGAAGGCAGGCAGUGCUGGCUGUGCAGAGCUUUAGAGGCCAGGGCUGAGCUCCUGCAUCCAUCCUGAGAACAAGGGAGGCAGGGCGGGCGCUGCCCUAGUGGGUCACUCUCAUCUGAGACCGGCUGCUCUGAGGAGAAACCAUUAGAGGAAACAUUUGCAGACUUAGGGAGACCAGUCAGG
rnacentral:lncRNA from 1 species